rnacentral:rRNA from 2 species
UAGGGAAUCUUCGGCAAUGGACGAAAGUCUGACCGAGCAACGCCGCGUGAGUGAAGAAGGUUUUCGGAUCGUAAAACUCUGUUGUUAGAGAAGAACAAGGACGUUAGUAACUGAACGUCCCCUGACGGUAUCUAACCAGAAAGCCACGGCUAACUACGUGCCAGCAGCCGCGGUAAUACGUAGGUGGCAAGCGUUGUCCGGAUUUAUUGGGCGUAAAGCGAGCGCAGGCGGUUUCUUAAGUCUGAUGUGAAAGCCCCCGGCUCAACCGGGGAGGGUCAUUGGAAACUGGGAGACUUGAGUGCAGAAGAGGAGAGUGGAAUUCCAUGUGUAGCGGUGAAAUGCGUAGAUAUAUGGAGGAACACCAGUGGCGAAGGCGGCUCUCUGGUCUGUAACUGACGCUGAGGCUAGAAAGCGUGGGGAGCAAACAGG